UACGUAGGGGGCAAGCGUUGUCCGGAUUUAUUGGGCGUAAAGCGCGUGUAGGCGGCCAGGUAGGUCCGUUGUGAAAACCCGAGGCUCAACCUCGGGACGGUCGACGGAAACCAUCUGGCUAGAGUCCGGAAGAGGAGAGUGGAAUUCCCGGUGUAGCGGUGAAAUGCGCAGAUAUCGGGAAGAACACCCGUGGCGAAGGCGGCUCUCUGGGACGGUA
rnacentral:rRNA from 1 species